rnacentral:rRNA from 1 species
UUUAUCAAAAACAUGGCUCCUUGAAUUUAAUAACAUAGGGAGUCGAACCUGCCCAGUGAAAAAUAUUUUAACGGCCGCGGUACCCUGACCGUGCAAAGGUAGCAUAAUCAUUUGCCCUAUAAUUGAGGGCUUGUAUGAAUGGUCUGACAAGAGCAAUACUGUCUCUGUGUGAAUCAGUAAAAUUUUAUUUUUAGGUGAAGAAGCCUAGAUACAAUUAAAAGACAAGAAGACCCUAUCGAGCUUUAAAGAAAUUAGUAUACUUAAUAACAUAACAGCUAUAUGAAAAGAUAAUUACUAAAAAUUUUGGUUGGGGCAACUGAGGAACAAAAAAAGCUUCCUUAAACAAAACUCAACUAUCAAGUAUUGAUCCAAAUUUAUUGAUUAAAGAAUUUAGUUACCGUAGGGAUAACAGCAUUAUCUUUUUUAAGAGUCCUAAUUGAAAAAAAGGUUUGUGACCUCGAUGUUGGACCAGAAUAUCCUAAAGAUGCAGAAGUCUUUAAGGGUUGGUCUGUUCGACCAUUAAAAUUCUACGUGAUCUGAGUUCAGACCGGCGUGAGCCAGGUCAGUUUCUAUCUUUAAUUAAAAAUUUAAGUUUAGUACGAAAGGACCAACUUACAAUAUAAUUAAAUAUUUAUAAUGAAAAAGUAUAAUAUUUAUAUAAAUAUAAAUCGAAUUAGCAGAAUUAAUGCAAUUGACUUAGAAUCAGUAGAUAUAGACGAAAUUUCUAUAUUUGAUAAAUAAAGGUGGCAGAACAAGUGCAUUAGGUUU